GGAAGAAGAAGGAACCUUUUUAGUGAAGCUGGAGCUAAAAAAAAAAAAAAAUUAAAAAAAAGAUGUUUAAAUAAUAGGACCUGCUUUAAAUAAUAGGAAGACGUCGAAGAAGGAUACAGGGUGGAAGAAGAGCCAUAGAGGAGGCUGGGAGGGGAGCGCAGGCGUCCAGGACCGCAGCUUGGCCAAGAGCGACUGGGUGGAGGCGUGGCACCAGCCCAGUCAUUCAUUUAGGAGCAGGGACCCCGUUUCACCUGAGGCCCGCUAACGGGGAGCUUCCCCCCAGGAGCAGAGCCACAAGGGGACCAUCGUACUGAUGAGCUGCACAGAGGACUCUGAAGAAUUCCGGUUCCUGACCCUUAGCCGCCCUCUCCUCGGGGAUACCCGGGGCCGCUAUCAGCAAAAAAUAUCUUAAUAUUUGAUAUUUAGCUUUUAGUGUUUAGUGUAAAGACCUCUGAAUAACCUACUUAGGUUGAACCGCACAUAAAAAUGUAUACAGAAAGGGGCUCGAGUUUCUCCAAGGAUAGCCCUAGCACGUCAGCAUUUAAUUUCACACGAAUUCUGUUAUUUUUUGCACUUACUGGUGUGUUUUGAGGUUACUCUUGGUUGUCUGGCUCCCCCAACUAGUGGUCAGGAGCUCUUAUGUUAAGAAUAUAGCUCAAAAAAGGGGGGGGGGGUGCAAUUAAUCAGUGAUGAAUAAAAGUUUUAACCAACUCCCCCCCGCCCCCGCCCCAAAAAAGAACAUAGCUCAAUUCUUUCAUACCUUCCUUAGUAGUGCCCAGACCAUGCUCCACCCACAGUAAAUGCUUUCUAGUCAA